CUUUUGUACCAUAGUGUUUUUAUAGCAUACUGCUACCAGGGGCGGAUCUAGAAGAGGCAUUAGUCGGAGACAUCAAGCUAAGGUUUGAGUUAGUAGGGGGCACCUUUAUAGAAGUUGAGCUUGCUGUAAUACAAUUGCUUAAAGAAAAUCAAGAUUUAGUAGGGGACACAUGACCCCGUUAGUCGUAACGUACGUCCGCCUCUAACUGCUACUACUUUAUCAUCUGCUAUGCCAAUCAAAGCAUAAGAAGUUGUAAAUCAUGGAGGGUGUAUUAUUGUGUAAAAACAUCUGAAUAUCGAGUUAAAGUCCAUCUCAAAUGCAUUUUCUAUUUUUUUUUCUUUUAUAGAAAAUUUUUAGAAUAUAUUGUUUCUUUUCAAUGUAUUUUUUCCUUCAAACUAUUAUUUUUUAUAUACUCUAGUUUGACUUUACAAAUAUUAAAUUUUAGUUAUAAAGUUAAAUUAACUCAAUUUAUUUUCAUAAAUUUAUAAUAUUUAUUUAAAUUAAUCAUUUAUUACAUAAAACAUACAUUACUUAAAUAACUUUUUAAGUAAACCAAAAAAUUGUAUUUCUGUUUUGUGUAAAUCAUUUAUAUUUAUCUAAGAAAAUACUGUUAUAACUAUAACGUUUGGUGUUAUUUGUGUAUCGUCUAGGAGUAUAUAUCCGGUUGUAAUCCAUUAAGUCUUUUGGGCCUUUAAUUUUAAUGUAAGUAAGCAUCUUGUGUAAAAGAAUUAUAACUAUAAAAAAUCAAAAAUCAUAUUAAGGAAUGAUAUUUUUUUUUCUAAAUAUAGAAGAAUUUUUUUAGCAAUAUCAUGGGGAAACAUAGAAGUGAAUGAAAAAAUUAACUGGUAAAUAUUUUUAUAAUAUUCAGUUUAAACUGAAAGUAAUUUUAUAUUUGACUAUUUUGUUAAUUUUUUUGAAAUAAGCUUUUUUGUUCUAAAAGUUAAUAAGCUUGUUUAGUAUAAAUAAAUUCUUAUGUUGAUAUCAUUAUUUUACAUUUACUCAAUACUUAUUCUACCUAAUUUUAUUCUGUAAGUAAAUUACAUUAAUUGAUUCAAGACGUAGUUGAAAUACAACUUAUAAAUUAUGAAUUAUUUCUACCUUUUAUACUUUUGUUUUUGAAUAUACUUUAGUUUCUCUUAUACAUUUUCUUUUAAACAUAUUGAUUUAGUUAAUACCAAAAAUAAAAUAACCGUUGCACUUUUUAUUAUUUUUUUUUUUAUGAGUUAGAUAGUAGAUAGUAUAAAAAUAUCAUACUACUCGUUACUAUUUAGAAGGUACACAUAUUUAUUUGACAUAUAUAUCAGAUACACAUAAUAUCGAAACUGAUUAGAUUGUCCAGAAAAUAAUAUUGUUGUUUGGUUAUCAGAGUUGUCAUUGUUUUUUUUUAUUCUACUCCUUGUUUUUGUAUUUGUUUUUUUAUAAUGGUUGUAUUAUGUAUAUAUUUAAUCUUUUUUAUUUCAACAAUUGAGUUUUGAAGUAAACAGUUUACUUUUUUAUUAAGUAUUUUAGAUUUAUUCAAAAUAAUAUAUAUCAUGUUGGAAAAAUUAUAUGCCAACUCAAAUUUGUUCGCCGAAUAAUUUUUUUAAAUAUAAUAACAUCAUCGAAAAAUUCAAUGUUUAAAAACAUACAAAAAGAAAGGCCUUUAGAAUAGAGAUAUCAUUAUUUACCAAAAUACAUGACGAUUAUGCGUAGUAUGUAAUGAAUGAAUCAACAAAAGAAAUUAAUAUUGUGAUAGAGAGAGAGAUGGAGAUGAAACUAAAAGUGGCAAGAUAACACCUUUGGUGAGCCAAACAUGCAUACCAUGCGUCCUUAGAAAGGAUUCCAUCUCUUGUGUAAACUGUUAUAGAGACUCUUCCUUCAGUUCAACCUGUUCAAUCAAUUUUACGAAAACAGAAUUGAUCAGUAAUGAAGAUAAACACAGUCAAUCUUGUUUGUUUAUCAAGUUGGCAAUAGUUGAAUCACAAACCGUUUCUACUGGAGUGCUUUCAGUCCUUAAAAAUCCAGAAUCUUCAUAAGCGUAAAAUGAGCUGCAAUGAUAAUAAGAAGAUGUAUUCAAAACAGUUAGACCAAAGAUACAGGAAAGCCAGGAAUAAGAUGGAAACAGUUUAAGCUUUCACUGUUGUUUCCACCAAAGAAAGAUAGGUGAAAAAGAGGAUUUCGAGAAAGAAAUACCUUUCAACCUUUUCCUUUUGCAUAUCUGUAAUAAGAAGUCCAGCAUCAAUAUGAAGCAACUGGAAAAAAAUUCCAAAUCAUAUGUAAAAGCGCAACUGGCGAGAAAAGACCAUUUAAUAUAAAACAACUAUUCUAAGAAGCAGAAUAUAGCCUUUAAGCAGGACCAAUAUCAUCAGAAGCAGAACGACCAAGAGAGGCCUGCAUCACUUUGUUUGCCUAGGAAGAAGCUGAACCAAUAAGAAGUACCAAACUACAAAUCAACAAUUCAAUGAAACAUAUAUUAAUCUCAGUUACUUCCAACCAACACCCAUCUACUCAUAGUUACGAAAAAAAAAACAAAGAAACAGUCUUCCAUGGUGUCUAAACUGUUGUCUGAACUCCUUGAAUUUGAUAGAAUUAUAUUUUUCGAUAGACUCUCUGAUUCAAUUAACAUUACCAUCCAUGUGCUCCCUCCCUUCCUUUCUUCUUUGUCUUAGAAAGGUAACUGCAAUAACAAUUUAGCAAACAAUCAUCAUUUGAUUCAACAAUAUAAGCAAAGAUUUAGGCUUUAUUCAUAAGGGUCCUAAACCAUUGACGGUGUGUACAGAAGUACACACAUCUUCCCAGCUCAGUAACGUUAUAAUUUCAAGAAACAGAACCAUGAAAGCGAGAAGGAAGAAAGUGAUCGGACCUUUGUAUCGCUUUGACUUACACACGUUUUCUAUAGUUCGGGAAGAUAUAAACUCUGCAUGUUAACACCUAUAAACUCGCCGAAUUUGUUUACAAUGCGAGCCUCCCAGAAUCUCAGGAGAACGGUGGAGCGGCCGGCCUUCAAAUCACCUAGCACUGAGAUUUAAGACGAAAUUGAUUAAAAGGAAUGAACUGAUGAAUUUUUAGAAAGGAAACUUACAUAUUAUAGUAAUGGAUUCACACAAUCUCUACUAUAUAAAAGCAACUAAUUUGAAGUUUUUUUAGGGAUGCCACGUAGGACAAAAUAUUUAGAACCAAUCAUUUUGCCAUGUCAUCGUGGAUGUUGAGCUGCUGGACCUCAGACGAAUAAGAUAAACAGCUCAUUUGCAAAGAUUGUCGACUUUAGUGGCCCAAAAUAUCUACCUAACUUAUCACCACCUAGAUCCUGACUUCUUCGCUUCGUUUUCUUUAUUCUGACCGGAGAAUAUCAGCAGUCAUCAUCUCCUACGAUUCUCAACUUCAAUGGUUGUGUCUCAUAAAUACGGCUCUUAAUACUCAAUUCAUUACUUCAACAACCCGAGAAGCAUGCAACUUUUACGAUUCCCUCAGCUUCACAGCUUAUAUAUCAGCUACGAAGAUGACGAAAUCCACCGGCAAGGCCCUUAUCGAUCAGUUCUUCGACCAUGUUGCCCAUGGCUUGGGAGAGGCGGAGCUGCGACUCCGGUUAAUUCAUAUCUAAGAAGCACGAAAGGGGCAGUCGAAUUGGCCUUGAGAUGAACAUGGAUAAAACGAAUAGUUUCUUCUUUAAGAUUCAGUUCCAGUUACUCAUAUCAUGUGAAAUCAACUCUGUAAACCAAUAAUUUUUGUCAUGUAAGAUUCAAGUCCCCAGAAGGAAGAAGGCGAGAAGUGGUUGUUUACUCUCAUCAGUUCGCCUGCUCCGAGGAUAUCUCCCCUAACGUUGCUGCACUGAAAGUUUUGUUUUCUCCAGGCUGGACAGAGAAGCACACGCAAAAGGAGCGAAUAUCAUUCAAGUAAUUCUUGCUCUUAAAUGUUUUCUUCUAAGAUUUAGUUCAGAUUGUCACCACUUGACUCAAGUCUUGAUAUGAUACUCUAUAUGGAAACAAGUAGAGUGCUGUUUUGUAUUGAUCUAUGUUGUCCUCUCCUGACUAUUUGAAGUAUUACACAAUAAUUAGCGUGGUGGAGCCACGAGCCACAUGAACUCACGUAUAUCUCCAUUUACUUUCCAUGAGUUAACAAUGCAUUAUCUUUUUGAGUGAUAUGACUUCUCUCAAGCACAAUGAGAGGACUGCUUUCAACGACCCAUGCUUUACAAGGGUCAUCCUACCAUUGAAAGGUGACAUUUUUUUUUGCCAAUGGUGCCCCUUUGAUAUUUAAGUUGUGGGUUUUUUACUUUCAUCAAAAUGUAUCUGUUAUAUAGUGCUUUAAUGGUUGGAUAUGGGUUACUAACAAAUGGACUCCAUUUCUGAAUACGUUCUGCAGCAGCAAGCUAGAGCUAGAGCAGAUGUACAAAGUUCAAAUGCAAUUCUAUGAAGUUUCAAAGCUUAUGAAAGUUUUCUCUGAAGUAGUGAGAUCUCCCUAUAUACUUUUAGUUGCAUUAAUAGACUAGAAAAAGUGCAUACAGAUUUUUGUCUAUUGGUCCUCAGGUCAAAUAACUUUGAAAUGUUUCUUUAUGUUGUUUCAUCAGAUUAAGAGGUUACUGUUAAGACAAUAAUAUAUAUUCGCUGAGGCUACAGAAAAUGACUACACUUAGUGAAUUAAUUGUAUUCGACUGGCUCUUUAACCAAUAUCUAUAGAAUUGUUUUAUUGUUACAAAUUUAAGAUUUGAGUUUCUCCUGUAAACGGAAGUAACCACCUUAUGAGAUCUUUUUAUACGUUGGAGAGAAUCUUAAUCCUUGAAAAAGUCAAGUUAGAAGCUCGAAGCUGCCAUUAUAACAAUGGUUUUGCACAAUUUGUUACAAAAGAUCAUACAACACUGUAAAUAACACUUCUAAAAAUUGAAAUAUAAUUAGUUUAAAAUAUACAAGCUUCACGUAGUGCGGAAGAAAAUCUCAUUUGUUUGAUGCUUAUAUAUAUCUUAGAAAUACAAUAACUCAAACGCAGUAUAAAAACCUAAAAUUAAAGUAAAGAAGGACGAACAGAUUACAUAACAUGAUGAUAUGACUAAUCAUUUUAGACAAAUUACAUAACAUGACUGAUCAGUAAUGUUAGAUCGCCUUGAUAAUAAGAAUUAAUCCAAAAAGAUAAAGGUAAAAACAAAAAUCUAAUCAUCUUCUUUAUAUAAUUUCACACAAAUUAUUGUUCGAUUCAACAACCAACAAUACCAUUUUAUUCCAACACCAUAACUGGCAUUAUCAAAAGCUUGUGAAUGAAGAAUAAACUAAACCAAGUUAGUAUUUUAAAUUGAUGACAAAAAAAAAUUGAAGACAAUGUUGAACAUUUCAGUUUUAUUCAAUAUAAAUAUAAUUAAUCAACUAAACUAAACAAAGAAGACAACUAUUUACUAUACCAAGCCUAUUUUCUUUGUCAAACAUUUUAUGGUUGUUUUUGUUGCAACAUUAUUUUACUUUAAACAUAAUUUAGAGAGAAAUAAUAUAUCACACAACAUAUAUUAAACAUAAUCCGCGCGUGGCGCGGACACGGACCUAGUCUAUAUUAUAAUGAUACAGUUUUUCCUCUCUUCUAAGCAUGUCCAGAUCAACAUUAUUAUGGCCCCCACAUUUAAUUUGUUUUUUAAGUAUGAGUGGACUUUAAUGUGUGAUGUAUGUAUCCCGUUCUUUAAAUGUGUGUUCUGCGACUUUUCAGUAUUGAAAUUCAGUAUAUAAUUUCCGCACUCUGUAUCAAACACAAAAUCCCUUCCUCUUCCUCUUCCUCUCAAGUUUAUUGGUGUUUUCUCAAAAACCUUACAAAUAUGAAGCGUUAAGAUCUAAGUUCAUCUGUGAUUAAGGUUAUUGUGAUCUCUUGAAUAAUUUCACUCUUCCCGAUUCAUUCAUUAUGCCAUCUUCUCAAACGCUUCAUAACCUACACACAAACCACUAUAUAUAUAGUUGAAAUCCCAGCAGAAACAACCUCAUCUCAUUCAUUGUUUUGUUUUUGGUAAUAGUUCUUCUGCUGGUGUGGAUAUGUAGGGAUCACAAGAUUGAGUUUUUGAAGGUAUGUGCUGAUUAAUUGCGAUUUCGUUUGGAUCAGUUUUCUUUUUCAAUUGAAAAGCCGUGACUUUUUAGUUUUGAUGUUGAUUCAUUUUGAUUCUGUCUGGCUCUAUGUUUGAACUGCUGAUGUGAGUCCAUGGGUUCUCACAAAAAAAUAGUUUUUUUUGUUUCAAUACGGUUAGUGAGGUAGCGAUUGCUAUAAGGUGUGGAAAUAAAUGGUUCUCAAGUACGAUUUAUGAAUGUAAACAUGAAGAAGUAUCAGUAUGCCGUAAGUGGUGAGCUUUAUCUCAUCCUCUGAGAUUCUAAGCUUUAAAAAGAAGGCAAAAAGGUAUAAAUGUAAGGACUAAUUUGGACGAAAUGUAUCUCUCUAUAAUACAUUAAUAUUAAUAUGACACAAAAAAAUGUUUUUACCUGCACGUAAUUGCUUAUGAACAUCAAUUAUUAAUAUAAUCGAUUGCUAGAUAUUAAAGAUAACAACCAAUUGUUGCAGGUGGUUCUGCUUUGUUAAGCUCCGUCUCUGCUACAUGACGCAAAUGUUAGAAUGAUGUUUCCACCUGAUGUUAUUGCAAGAGCUAAACAUUUUAAUUUCUUGAAUUCAGGCGGAUUGGGUAUUGUUACACACUAAACUCAUUAGUUAGCCAGCUAUCUGCAUAUAGAUUUAGUGUGGAAUAAUAUGAAAUUUAUUUCCUUUCUCUUUGUGUCAUCAGGCGCUUAUAGUGUCUCAAGAGGUCUUCCGAGAGUUAGAGAAGAGGUAGCUGAGUUCAUUGAAUGACGUCAUGGAUACCCAGUGACCAAGAACUCAUAUUUCUCACUAAUGGAGCUAGCCGCGGUGUGAAACAAAUCUUGAACUGUGCUAUACACGGUGAGGGAGACAUGGUAAUGCUCUGUCCCAAGAAGUUUUAGUAUCUGCUACUAUUUUCCUUCUGACACUUCUUCUCUGGCUAUUUGCACCACCAAAUUUUCUCAAAGCCUAUGAACCGACCAAAAGGUACGGCCUCAUAAUCUAAAAGACUAAUACCCUUCAAAAUGAUAACCAUUGUUCUCUGUAAUCUAACCAACUCAACAUUUCCACAUGAAAACCUGGUAUUUAAGGCUUCAUUGCUCUAAACCAAAAGCACAUGAAAUGAGAAAGACGACCAUAUGUCACACUCAUGCUAUUUUGGUAAGUUUACUUUGUCGCUGUUGAAGUCAUUGUGUGAUAUGCAUUUGUUUACAGAUUAAUGAAUGCUCUUUUAUUUUCUUUUCUAUGAUGCUAAUUGUUUGGUGGAUAUGGGCUGUCAGGAAGGUAACUUUAUAGAGGUAUAUAUGUUCAUUCUUUGCACAAUCUGAUUAUGUAUGUGGAGCAUAAAGUCUUCACAUUCCUUAAUUGGUGUUGUUAGGAGUAUAUAAACCAAAAGAUUUUGCAACUCCAGUUGGUGAUUUUGGAAUCGUGCCUCAACAGCUUGUGUUAAUGUCAACAGAUCACAACAUUGCUUCUCUUCAGCAUUAUGGAGAAGAGCAGGCAAGUGAAAGUGAGACCAAGAAGCUUCAUCAGAAAUUCAUAACAAUUUCAGUAGAAAGAAUAAGAAGUAUGAUCAGAAGAAAGAAGGUGAUGAUGAGAUGAAUGGGUGUCCUAUUUGCCCCGAAGAGAUGAGAUCUAAGCUUAUUACUGUGUCCUUGCGGAUUUGCCUGUCUCUUCUCUCAUAUGGAGAUCAACGUAAAUGAUAAGUUUCCCCAAACAAGUAUUAGAAGACAAGUAGUAACAGUGGACACAAGUUACCAAAUCGUCUCCAUCGUUUUAACAAAGAAACAUUAAUAAGUUUUUAUUUUU